GAGAACCAGCUUAAGGGUUAAAACAAAUGGUAUGAAACUGAGACGCCGCUACUUUGCUGAUGUUAGUUGAAUUUAUUAUCAUUAUUUCUCAAGAUGGACAAUCUCAGCCAGAUAGACUUAAUUUUGAAUUUUCGAUUGAGACGUUUUUAUGAUUGUAUAGGAGCCCUCCAAUUACAGGACAGCUACACUAGUUUUGAUAUAAAUGGCCAA
rnacentral:misc_RNA from 1 species